AGUCUCCUCUAGCUGUGGAGGGAGAUGGGCCUGGCUGCUGGGGAGCAUACCAGGGUACCUGAGGAACUGUUCAGGGUGUGACCGAAAAAGAUUUUCCUUGGGUCUCCCUGGACACCAGUGGAAAAACAGCUGGUCCCUCCCUGUGAGCACCAGACAGGUUUCAGCAAUUUACACAAGAACAACCAAAAACCUCAACAGCCACUAGGACAACAGUCAGAGCGGGAAACUGCGAAGGGUCAGGAUGGAACCCCCAGGACUUUCAGCACAGUAUAUCUUCUACAGUACAAGUAAACAUUUCAGUACAAUCCUUCCCCAAAACAACAACAGGAACAAGGACAAAAGAGAUUAAG